rnacentral:rRNA from 1 species
UACAGAGGGUGCAAGCGUUGUUCGGAAUUAUUGGGCGUAAAGGGCGCGUAGGCGGUUCGGCAAGUCUCUAGUGAAAUCUCUGGGCUCAACUCAGAGUCUGCUGGGGAAACUGCCGGGCUUGAGUGUGGGAGAGGAGAGUGGAAUUCCCGGUGUAGCGGUGAAAUGCGUAGAUAUCGAGAGGAACACCUGCGGCGAAGGCGGGUUGCUGGGCUGACACUGACGCUGAAGCGCGAAAGCUAGGGGAGCGAACGGG